rnacentral:rRNA from 1 species
UACGUAGGUGACAAGCGUUGUCCGGAUUUACUGGGCGUAAAGAGCGCGCAGGCGGUCGUUCAAGUCGAGUGUGAAAGCCCCCGGCUCAACUGGGGAGGGUCAUUCGAUACUGAUCGACUCGAAGGCAGGAGAGGGUAGUGGAAUUCCCGGUGUAGUGGUGAAAUGCGUAGAUAUCGGGAGGAACACCAGUGGCGAAGGCGACUACCUGGCCUGUUCUUGACGCUGAGGCGCGAAAGCUAGGGGAGCAAAGCGGGAUUAAGAA